AAAUAAGUGCCUGAAAGUUUAAAAGGGUUAUCUUGAUGGGAUAAAUUAUAUUAAUUUAUAUUUAAUCUUAUUUA
rnacentral:tRNA from 1 species